UCUUCAGGAUUACUAGAAACUUCCAAGCAGGUGUGAUUUGGAGCCGGCUGGAGCUAAUCUCUGCAGAGCUGUGGCCCUCCAGGAAUUGAGUUUGAGACCACUGGAGUAAAUGAUGCCAGAAUAUCAAUUUGUGGUUAAAUUCUCCCUUUAAUAUCGGUCCUGGCAUGGAAUGCUGAGACACAAAUUCAAAAAGGCGCGCAAGCUUCUUGUAGACCUGAAUAUAAUUAAUGUGCCAGGACAACAUAUUAGAAAAGGCAAAAAAGAAGCCUGACUGAAAAUGAAAAUGAUGCUUCAAUUGUGGAUUUGACUACAGAGGAUGAAUUUAGUAUAAGUCAGCACAUAAUCAAACUGAAGAUAGAAUGUGAGAAAAGAAACCUAACAUCUCCACGCUACAGGAUAAGAUGAAGAAAACUGGGAGGGGGGGUUGUCUUCAUAAAAGAGAGAACAGCUCAAGAAAUACUGAUUCAGUUCCCUGCUUUGAGCUUACCAGCAAUCAACAAAAUAUAAUAUCGAUGUGGACAGAAGAAUUCUGACUGGAUUUGGGACCACUGCAGAGAAAAUACUGACUGAGGAUUCUACUGGCCAUGUACAACACCUCACUUUAAUCACAUGCUGAAGAGGCACAUAAAGAUUUCUAUAGACUAAUGGUAAUUGCAGGAAUCCUUGUCUUGCCAUACCUGUUACAUGAAGAUCCUGCUGGACUUUAUGUGAUAAAUGAGCCUACUCCAAAUCUUACACCAACAAUGGUUAUUAUGGGAGACCCAUUUGGUGAAAGCAGAAUUGCCAUUUUUCUUGAUGGAGAGGAGGUAUUCUAUAAUGAUCCUGAUGAUGUAUCCAUGGCUGUAGGCCUUACAGUGAAUUUUCCCUUUCUGUGACCCCCAUUUAGUACCGGAUUUGCACAUUUUUACCACUGAUUGCAUUGGUAAGGCUAGGAGACAGAGGUAGAAGUCAAACAAGUGUUUAUUGAGGGAACUGAGACGUGAGCCAGCUGAAGACGAGAGGUAAGUGCUGCGUGAAGUAACUGGGUUCUGAAGGCUUGGCUUGCAAUUGCGGUGAAUUAGAAAGCAGGUGAUUCUGAUCUUGAGAACAUCGGUGCUGAUGAUUGUGGUGACUGUGACUCUCUGAUAUUACCUCCUCCCCCAGGGGUGGCUACUUUCGCCCACACCAAACGUGAAUAGAGAGUCUGGCGAGAAGUGUUAGGUCAACGUAAAAACGCGUUUACGCGCGUCUGGAGGUCUCGCGGCGCGAAUUCGCGUCUGACGCCCGAGUUGAAAAAUUGACUUUGGCGUCAAUUCGCGCCGCGUUAACCAAUCAGGAGCCUGCUUGCUGCUGUGGCGGCAGGCCCGCCCGGAGUCACUCAUUCAACAUGGAGGA